AUGUUGUAUGUGAGAAUUGGAGAAAACCAUACAAAAAUUUAUGCCCAAACGGCUCUUUGAUUUAAUUGUAUGGUUUUCUCCAAUAUCUCAUCUCCAACCU
rnacentral:pre_miRNA from 1 species